GUUAAUAUUAUGUUACUUUCUUUUGUAGUUUAAUUUUUUAAAAAAUUAAAGAAUAUUUAUUGAUAUGAGUUUUUGUAAAUGAGUGAUUAAAUAAUUUUUAGUUAUAGUAAAUUAGUACAUUGAUGGAAUU
rnacentral:rRNA from 1 species